AAACUUCCUGUUGAACUUCUAACCCCCAUUAAAGGACCUGACAUGUUCACCAAUGCUGGAAGGAGCUGACCUGACCGUCCUGUAGUUACUGGAACCACAUUCAACUCUGGAGGCAUUGGACUUAAUGGGCCCGAGGCACUUCGCCCUGUCACACCUGCUGUUCGCCAACUCAGGCUUCCACUAGUAUUUCUGAGGGGACCAUCAAGGGAACCACGGACGAGUAAUGGUGACAUGUGUGGCUGGGUGUCCAUGACAGAUGCAAUUUGGGCUGCUGCAGGCCCCUGUGAGAAUUCCAACACAAAAUUUCCAUUUGCAUCACCCUUAG
rnacentral:misc_RNA from 1 species